rnacentral:rRNA from 1 species
UCCUGACUGACCGAUAGUGAACCAGUACCGUGAGGGAAAGGCGAAAAGAACCCCGGCGAGGGGAGUGAAAAAGAACCUGAAACCGUGUACGUACAAGCAGUGGGAGCACGCUUAGGCGUGUGACUGCGUACCUUUUGUAUAAUGGGUCAGCGACUUAUAUUCUGUAGCAAGGUUAACCGAAUAGGGGAGCCGAAGGGAAACCGAGUCUUAACUGGGCGUUAAGUUGCAGGGUAUAGACCCGAAACCCGGUGAUCUAGCCAUGGGCAGGUUGAAGGUUGGGUAACACUAACUGGAGGACCGAACCGACUAAUGUUGAAAAAUUAGCGGAUGACUUGUGGCUGGGGGUGAAAGGCCAAUCAAACCGGGAGAUAGCUGGUUCUCCCCGAAAGCUAUUUAGGUAGCGCCUCGUGAAUUCAUCUCCGGGGGUAGAGCACUGUUUCGGCAAGGGGGUCAUCCCGACUUACCAACCCGAUGCAAACUGCGAAUACCGGAGAAUGUUAUCACGGGAGACACACGGCGGGUGCUAACGUCCGUCGUGAAGAGGGAAACAACCCAGACCGCCAGCUAAGGUCCCAAAGUCAUGGUUAAGUGGGAAACGAUGUGGGAAGGCCCAGACAGCCAGGAUGUUGGCUUAGAAGCAGCCAUCAUUUAAAGAAAGCGUAAUAGCUCACUGGUCGAGUCGGCCUGCGCGGAAGAUGUAACGGGGCUAAACCAUGCACCGAAGCUGCGGCAGCGAUGCUUAUGCGUUGUUGGGUAGGGGAGCGUUCUGUAAGCCUGCGAAGGUGUGCUGUGAGGCAUGCUGGAGGUAUCAGAAGUGCGAAUGCUGACAUAAGUAACGAUAAAGCGGGUGAAAAGCCCGCUCGCCGGAAGACCAAGGGUUCCU